GCAUGCUUACACAUGCAAGUCGAACGGUAACAGGCCGCUGUGAUCCCUUCGGGGUGAACUUGGCGCUGACGAGUGGCGGACGGGUGAGUAACGCGUAGGAAUCUGCCCAGUAGUGGGGAACAACUCGGAGAAAUCCGAGCUAAUACCGCAUAUCUCCCACGGGAGAAAGCGAGGGACCUUCGGGCCUUGCGCUACUGGAUGAGCCUACGUCGGAUUAGCUAGUUGGUAGGGUAAAAGCCUACCAAGGCAACGAUCCGUAGCUGGUCUGAGAGGAUGAUCAGCCACACUGGGACUGAGACACGGCCCAGACUCCUACGGGAGGCAGCAGUGGGGAAUAUUGGACAAUGGGCGCAAGCCUGAUCCAGCAAUGCCGCGUGUGUGAAGAAGGCCUGCGGGUUGUAAAGCACUUUUAUCGGGAAAGAAAAACCCAGGGUUAAUAGCCCUGGCAUUGACGGUACCCGAGGAAUAAGCACCGGCUAACUCCGUGCCAGCAGCCGCGGUAAUGCGGAGGGUGCAAGCGUUAAUCGGAAUUACUGGGCGUAAAGCGAGUGUAGGCGGCUACGUAUGUCGGAUGUGAAAGCCCCGGGCUUAACCUGGGAAUUGCAUUCGAAACUGCGUAGCUAGAGUCUGAUAGAGGGAAGUGGAAUUCCGGGUGUAGCGGUGAAAUGCGUAGAUAUCCGGAGGAACA
rnacentral:rRNA from 1 species